UCCGUAGGUGAACCUGCGGAAGGAUCAUUACUGUGAUUAUACCAACACCACACUGUGUGGGCGCACAAAACACCUAAACCUGGAGUAUACACACGUCAACAAAAGAUCUAAAAGAAUAAAACUUUCAACAACGGAUCUCUUGGUUCUCGCAUCGAUGAAGAGCGCAGCGAAAUGCGAUACCUAGUGUGAAUUGCAGCCAUCGUGAAUCAUCGAGUUCUUGAACGCACAUUGCGCCCGUCGGUAUUCCGGCGGGCAUGCCUGUCUGAGCGUCGUUUCCUUCUUGUGCACCGGGGUCUUUGCAGAUCCUCUGUGCGCAGAGCUGGCCGUGCCACUGGCCCGGCCGAAAAGAAACGUUGCGGACGAAGCGAACUACAUCGGGACGCUUUGGCCGCCGAGCGAAAAAAAAAACACCAUUGAGCUCGACCUCAGAUCAGGUAGGAGUACCCGCCGAACUUAAGCAUAUCAAUAAGCGGAGGA
rnacentral:rRNA from 1 species